rnacentral:rRNA from 1 species
GACGAGGGAUCCUAGCGUUGUUCGGAAUCAUUGGGCGUAAAGGGUGCGUAGGUGGCUAUGUAAGUCAGUUGUGAAAUCCCCGGGCUCAACCCGGGAAGUGCUUCUGAUACUGCGUAGCUUGAAUAUUGGAGAGGUGAGUGGAAUUCCAGGUGUAGUGGUGAAAUACGUAGAUAUCUGGAGGAACACCGGCGGCGAAGGCGGCUCACUGGCCAUAUAUUGACACUGAAGCACGAAAGCGUGGGGAGCAAACAGG